GUGCCAGCCGCCGCGGUAAUACGGAGGGUGCAAGCGUUAAUCGGAAUUACUGGGCGUAAAGCGAGUGUAGGUGGUCGAAUAAGUCGGAUGUGAAAGCCCUGGGCUUAACCUGGGAAUUGCAUUCGAUACUGUUUGGCUAGAGUCUGAUAGAGGGAAGUGGAAUUCCAGGUGUAGCGGUGAAAUGCGUAGAUAUCUGGAGGAACAUCAGUGGCGAAGGCGGCUUCCUGGAUCAAGACUGACACUGAGGCUCGAAAGCGUGGGGAGCAAACAGGAUUAGAUACCCGGGUAGUCC
rnacentral:rRNA from 1 species